UAUAUGAAGGUGUAUAUAGUUUAGCCUGCUCACUGAUUAUAUUAAAGAGCCGCAGUAUUUUGACUGUGCGAAGGUAGCAUAAUAAAUUGUCUUUUAAAUGAAGGCUUGAAUGAAAGGUUGGACAAAGUAUCAUCUGUUUCUUAAAUAUUUAUUGAAUUUGACUUUCAAGUGAAAAGGCUUGAAUAAAUUAAAAAGACGAUAAGACCCUAUAAAUCUUUACAAUAAGCAUGUUUUAUAUUUUAACUUAUAAGUGUAUAAGAUAUAAAAUUUGUAGUUGUUCCGCUGGGGCGGCGUAGAUAUAUAAAUAAACUGUCUAUACAUUAAAUCCAAUAAUUGUUGAUUAAUAAAAUUGAUCCUUAGAUAGAUUAAAAGAUUAAGAUACUUUAGGGAUAACAGCGUUAUUUUUUCUGAGAGUUCUUAUCGAAGAAAAAGUUUGCGACCUCGAUGUUGAAUUAAAGUAUCUCUAUGGUGCAGCCGUUAUAAGAGAGAGUCUGUUCGACUUUUAAUACUUUACGUGAUCU
rnacentral:rRNA from 1 species